rnacentral:rRNA from 1 species
UACGAGUGCCCCAAGCGUUAUCCGGAAUUAUUGGGCGUAAAGGGUCAGUAGGCGGUCGAGUUAGUCUUCUGUCAAAUUCUUCGGCUUAACCGGGGGUCCGCAGGGGAAACGGCUCGACUCGAGGAUGCGAGAGGUGAAUGGAACUCAUAGUGUAGGGGUGAAAUCCGUUGAUAUUAUGGGGAACACCAAAAGCGAAGGCAAUUCACUGGCGCACUCCUGACGCUGAAUGACGAAAGCGGGGGUAGCGAAUGGG